CCUACGGGGGGCAGCAGUGGGGAAUAUUGCACAAUGGGGGAAACCCUGAUGCAGCGACGCCGCGUGAGUGAAGAAGUAAUUCGUUAUGUAAAGCUCUAUCAGCAGGGAAGAAGAUGACGGUACCUGAGUAAGAAGCCCCCGCUAACCAAGGGCCAGAAGCCGCGGUAAUACGUAGGGGGCAAGGGUUAUCCGGAUUUACCGGGUGGAAAGGGAGCGUAGACGGCAGGGCAAGUCUGGAGUGAAAGGCGGGGGCUCAACCCCGGGACUGCUCUGGAAACUGUACGGCUGGAGUGCAGGAGAGGUAAGUGGAAUUCCUAGUGUAGCGGUGAAAUGCGUAGAUAUUAGGAGGAACACCAGUGGCGAAGGCGGCUUACUGGACUGUAACUGACGUUGAGGCUCGAAAGCGUGGGGAGCAAACAGGAUUAGAUACCCUUGUAGUC
rnacentral:rRNA from 1 species